CAGGUUGUUCGAUUUCCGAAGAAUUGGUACGCGAAGCCGUGUACGAAGAAGCAUAUUCGCAAGUAUGCGGCGGCAUAUUUAUAUUAUGGUUCCCUCGUCCCCGCCGUCGCCCGCCGGUCUAGCAGCCCAGUCGGCUCGCUACGUCGGCCAACGGAGCGAGUGAGAUGGCUGAAGGCCGGCGGAACGAACAGCAGAGACGAAGGAAGCGAUCUAGUUCCUAGAAAUUUCUAGUUUAAUCGUUCGAAGCUCGAACAUACCGCCCGCCUUCUUUGGAUGGCAAAGAAGCACGCAUGCAUCAAACAAAUCUAUCCAUAAAGCUAACCUUAAUGUGAACAGUAAAGUUACGUGCAUCAAACCGUUGGACACAGUGCUAGGUGCAUAAAAAUAAAAGGACUUACAACUAACAUAAUACAAAGGUACAAAGAAGAGAUAUAAGUGAUUGAAUCGAUUACGGCGGCAAACCGCCCGCCAUGACCUAUAUAAGUUUUCCAACGCGUGAAACGGAAAAUUACGUGGAAGCAGAUGAAGUGACGUCAGCAGAGGGCAUCGGGAGGGGGCACAACUUGAUUAUUGGUCUGGUGACGGAACCGCUAGUGGUUCUCAAGGUGGCUACUCUCACUCGUCCAUCUGGCCCUGGAUGAAGGGCUUCAACCCAGCCCAUCGGCCAUUUUGCCGGUGGUUGCAACUCGUCGCGUAGUAAUACUAGUGUUUCCUUCUGCUGACGCCACUUGGGAAGUUGCUGAAGGUGUUGCAGAUAUUCCCGCCUCCACCUGUGCCAAAAAUCCGAGGGGUCGUCGGAAAGUGGAUGUAGCGGUCGUGAAUUUACGCAAGCUUCCACCUGGCACAGAAGCGUCAUCAUCUCCUCGAAGGCCCCCGAAGUGCGGAGCGUACGGAGGGAUGAAGCUCCAAUCCGUGCCUUCGGGUGCCAACGAAGCUGCGGCGUCUAGGUAGAAGGCGGAGGCGCCGCGGAACAUGUUGCGCAACUCCCGGUCCGCUCCGUGGAAGACGGUCCCAUUAUCGCUCUACAUCGUGGCGCAGCGGCCUCGUCGGCUGAUGAACCUGCGAAAAGCGGCUAGGAAUGAGGCAGAGGAUUUGUGUCCUCUUCCUGGUGAUGUUCGCAGCUUCACCGGUCCUGCAUAGUCCACUCCCGUAGAAAGGAAGGGUCGCCGAGAAGUGAUGCGCUCGAGCGGUAAGGGGUCCAUCAACUGCGUGGUCAGCCUUCCACUGUAGCGAGCACAUUUUACGCACCCCUUAAUGACGUCUCGCACUAGAGAGCGGCCAUGGAUGAUCCAGUAGCGUCGCGCCAGCAGGCUCCUGGGAUGAGAGGCUUGGUCGAGGCGGCGUCCGACGCGUAGCAGCCCUUGGUCAUCCAAGAAGGGUCUCAAGGCGAUGAGGGUCGAGGAUCGCCGUACCUCUUUGUGCUGCCGGAGCUGGUCGACCUCUGUGUGGAAGUUGGACUUCUGAGCUAGGCCGAUAGCGAUCCGUAGAGCAGUGUCUCGCUCCGAAGCCCGGAUAAACCCGGUUUCGGUGGUCAGCUUCCUGGUAGAUUUGUACUCGGCCCCGCUCCAAGUCCGCCUCCUCGACCUUUCCUAGUGGUGAUGCAGGCCACAGAUCUGGGAGAUGAGCCAGGAGGGUCCCCUCCACCAAAGCUGCGACGACAGGAGCUCCGACGGCGUUAUCUCUCUUGUUGCCAAGUCCGCAGGGUUGUGUUUGGUUGCCACGUGUCUCCAAUUUUGAGGCGGAACAUUGGACUGCACGGUGGCUACUCUGUGGGCAACAAACGGCUUCCAGGUUAAGGCAUGCCCUCGGAUCCAGUGGAGGGUAACGCUGGAGUCCGUCCAAGCUGUGAUGG